rnacentral:rRNA from 1 species
UACGAGAAAUUUAGUAGCUAAUACCGGACGUAAUGUCUUCGGACCAAAGAUUUAUCGCCUUUAGAUGGGCCCGCGUUGGAUUAGCUAGUUGGUGGGGUAAAGGCCUACCAAGGCGACGAUCCAUAGCUGGUCUGAGAGGAUGAUCAGCCACACUGGGACUGAGACACGGCCCAGACUCCUACGGGAGGCAGCAGUGGGGAAUAUUGGACAAUGGGCGAAAGCCUGAUCCAGCAAUGCCGCGUGAGUGAUGAAGGCCUUAGGGUUGUAAAGCUCUUUACCCGAGAUGAUAAUGACAGUAUCGGGAGAAUAAGCUCCGGCUAACUCCGUG